rnacentral:rRNA from 1 species
GACGAACGCUGGCGGCGUGCCUAAUACAUGCAAGUAGAACGCUGAAGGAGGAGCUUGCUUCUCUGGAUGAGUUGCGAACGGGUGAGUAAGGCGUAGGUAACCUGCCUGGUAGCGGGGGAUAACUAUUGGAAACGAUAGCUAAUACCGCAUAAUAUUGACUAUUGCAUGAUAGUCAGUUGAAAGGUGCAACUGCACCACUACCAGAUGGACCUGCGUUGUAUUAGCUAGUUGGUGGGGUAACGGCUCACCAAGGCGACGAUACAUAGCCGACCUGAGAGGGUGAUCGGCCACACUGGGACUGAGACACGGCCCAGACUCCUACGGGAGGCAGCAGUAGGGAAUCUUCGGCAAUGGACGGAAGUCUGACCGAGCAACGCCGCGUGAGUGAAGAAGGUUUUCGGAUCGUAAAGCUCUGUUGUAAGAGAAGAACGAGUGUGAGAGUGGAAAGCUCACACUGUGACGGUAUCUUACCAGAAAGGGACGGCUAACUACGUG